rnacentral:lncRNA from 1 species
GAGAGACGCAGCGGCGGCCCCAGUGCCGCCCCCGGGCGCGUGAGUGGAGCCGGGCUCCUUUCCCCUACCGCGCCGCGACCCCCGCCCGGGCUGCGCGCGCCGCCUCCCGCGAGCCCCCGGCCCGACUCCCGGGCUCCCGCGGGUGGGGGCCAGGGCUGGUCGGCGCCGGCGGGGCUCGCGGCGGCGGCGGGUUGCGUCCCCCGCGCCUGCUGGCCCACGUGGACCUGGCCGUCGCUUGCCGUGCGGCGCCUUUGCGAAAACUCGACGGAAGUGGCAGGGACCGGGCAUUACCUGCGAGUGCCGGGCGCCUCCUGCUCCGCUGUGCGCGCUUGGGGUGGGACUCGGCGGGGGAGGGGUCGUGUACAUUGUCCCACCAGGCGCAAUGUAGCCGGGCGGCGCAGAGGAUUUCUUUUUUGGUCUUGAGAGCAUAGAGUCCCUUUUCAUAUUCACGUGUACUCUUAAGAAAGCGUCUGUUCUCCAAACUGGCUUUCCAUUCUCCCCGUCCUAAAUGGUGCGUGGCUGACACCGUAGUGUUUUCAAAACUGGAUAUGGCCAGGAUGCUAUAGCAUUGUCAGUAUAGGGGAGUGUAUACAUCACCACACCAGCUGUCCAGGAAUUAGGAGGAAGUGCCCUUGAAUGAAGCCUGGGCUGCAAGCCUGGUUAGCAGCCAGGGAGGACACACACACGUUGCAGGCAUCUCCUUGGAAACAAUGCCAUCUUUGAAUGUGAGAGAUAAACCUAGUUUCAGCAUGUCUGCAGCAGAGACCAGUACAUCAGGCUUAUUCCCACAGGAAGCCUCCUAAAGCCUGUGGCGCGGCAACCAUUUCCAGGACUAAAUAAUAAUGUGUCAGAUGCCUGUGAGUGGACUGCCUGGCCAAAUGACUCAUGAAGAUAUUCACGGAAGAAUAGUCAAAAACCAAAGAAAAGGCAUAUUCUAGAAGCACCUUCAAUUCCAUCGAGGAUUUUUGAGCAGCUGAAGAAGAAAGUUCUGAAAAUAUGAGUGACAGGACUCCAGCACAUUUUUUUUAGUUGUUUCUUACAUUAUCUUUGUUAACCCAUCCGCUUUUGUGUAUAAUAUUAAGUUAUUUUCCACUACUGCAAUGGCUAGUAAUUUACUUAGGCUCAGAGUUUUACUCUGUAUGGACAGAGAAAUAGGAGGUAACAACAGUGGGAGAACAAAUAGGAACAGUUCACUGGGAUGUUGGUCCCCAGAAAUUGGCUUUCAUUGAAUAAUUCCUAAAGGGUGUCGUGUGCUGAAUUGCUUUUUCAUAGUGAUGUGCUGCUUCUUGUUCAUACUCUUAUGACUUUAAUUUCACCUUUAUCUACUCCCAGCCUCUGUAUAUGCCUACGUUUUUAAAAAUAAUUUUUGGCACUGAAGAUCUGAUUACCAUAUUUUUUCAGUUUAAAAAUUAAAUCCUCGCAAAUAGAUCUUUGGUAUAGUUGCAUUCUACCCUAGGUUAUUUUCUAGGAUCAAGAAUAGAACAAUUUCUGUUCUUUCCAGCAUUACUCUUUACUAUUCAUAUGUUCUUGUUCAGUGUUUUGUUGUUCUCAUAUUCUAGGUGGAAAUGAAGGGUAAUCUCUAUGUUCUAUUUUCAGUUUUCUAGGAAACCAGAAAAACAUGGGUAGUAGAAAUGUAUAGAAAAUGUAUGAGGUCUCUUAACCAUUGUGUUAAACUUGCAUUAAGCUUCUUUUUUAGCAAUAUCGAUGUCAGUGUUACCUCUUCUUUCCUUUUUAUUUAUUUUUUUUGAGACAGAGUCUCAUUCUGUCGCCCAGACUGGUUGGAGUGCGAUGAUGCGAUCGCGGCUAACUGCAACCGCUGCCUCCCAGGUACAAGUAAUUCUCGUGCCUUGGGCUCCCGAGUAGCUGGGAUUUUUAGUAGAGAACAGGUUUCACCAUAUUGGCCAGGCUGGUCUUGAACUCGCAACCUCAGGUGAUCCACCCACCUCAGCCUCCCCAAAGUGUUGGGAUUACAGGCAUGAGCCACCAUACCUGGCCCCUUUUGUUGUUUUGAGGGGCAGGCAGUAAGAAGCAGGGAUUUCUUCAAAUGCUAGUAAGCACAAAGAGAGGGAGAAGUUUUUGUAAGUAACGAACAGGGCCGGGCAUGGUGGCGUGAGAGGCCGAGGUGGGCAGAUCACGAGGUCAGGAGUUCGAGACCAGCCUGACCAACAUAGUGAAACCCCCGUCUCCACUAGAAAUACAAAAAUUAGCCGGGCAUGGUGGUGCACGCCUGUAAUCCAGCUAGUCAGGAGGCUGAGGCAGGAGAAUCGCUUGAACCUGGGAGGUGGAGGUUGCAGGGAGCUGAGAUCACGCCACUGCACUCCAGCCUGGGCGACAGAGUAAGACUCCCGUCUC